rnacentral:pre_miRNA from 1 species
CUAUUAAAAUUUCGUCUAUUUCUAUUGUUUAAAACAGAUGUAGCUAAUAGAAUAUGUGGUGUAUCACAUGCACCUCAUACUAAGGUAGAAUGACCAAUUUUUAACCAUAAAAAUGGAUGGACUUUUAAUCU